UGGUAGCUCAGCUGGUAGAGCAAUUGACUCUUAAUCAAUGGGUCCAGGGUUCGAGUCCCUGC
rnacentral:tRNA from 1 species